rnacentral:rRNA from 1 species
GACGAACGCUGGCGGCGUGCUUAACACAUGCAAGUCGAACGGUGAAGCGAGUGCUUGCACUCGUGGAUCAGUGGCGAACGGGUGAGUAACACGUGAGUAACCUGCCCAUCACUCUGGGAUAAGCACUGGAAACGGUGUCUAAUACUGGAUACGACCAACCCUUGCAUGGGGUGUUGGUGGAAAGAUUUAUCGGUGAUGGAUGGACUCGCGGCCUAUCAGCUUGUUGGCGGGGUAAUGGCCCACCAAGGCGACGACGGGUAGCCGGCCUGAGAGGGUGACCGGCCACACUGGGACUGAGACACGGCCCAGACUCCUACGGGAGGCAGCAGUGGGGAAUAUUGCACAAUGGGCGAAAGCCUGAUGCAGCGACGCCGCGUGAGGGAUGACGGCCUUCGGGUGGUAAACAUCUUUCAGCAGGGAAGAAGCGAAAGUGACGGUACCUGCAGAAGAAGCACCGGCGAACUACGG